UACGAGGGGGGCGAGCGUGUUCGGAAUUAUUGGGCGUAAAGGGUGCGUAGGCGGUUUGGUAAGUCUGAUGUGAAAUCUAUGGGCUCAACUCAUAGUCUGCAUCGGAAACUGCCGGGCUUGAGUGUGGGAGAGGUGAGUGGAAUUCCUGGUGUAGCGGUGAAAUGCGUAGAUAUCAGGAGGAACACCUGUGGCGAAAGCGGCUCACUGGACCAUAACUGACGCUGAUGCACGAAAGCUAGGGGAGCAAACAGG
rnacentral:rRNA from 1 species